CCAUGUUUGACUCCACCUCCAACCGCGACCACAUCCAAAACCACCAGGACCAUGGGGGUGUCGCUUGUAUAGAGAAAGAGGAAACAUGAUUU